GUAGUUUUGUCUUUAACUGGCUCUCCGUUAUUGGGAAGCGUGAAACAAUUGGAAGAAGGCUGAAUACACCCAAUCGGCGCGUCUUUUGGUAAUUUUUGCAGUGAAUCAGUGGAUACUAUUUCUUUCCAUGUCAGGAUAUUAUCUACUCCCAUGAUUGGUCUAGUUGCACCUGUUGCAUGGUUAUUUAAGCACCAUUAUAUGCAGUAUUUUAUGGUCUUCGUAAAGUAUAUUGUGAACAUCCGCAAUGUUGUUGAAGGCAAAAGAGCAGCUAAGCAAGCCUUGCAACAAAAGCUUGGUCCGAGAACAGCCGAUCUCCCUUUAGUUAGUAUAAUUACUUGCUUAACUCAUCAGAAACGAAUGCAUCCAAUCAAGCAUGGCAUUUGGCACAACCUAUGUAGCAAUAUACAGAUAUUUGCUGGUGCUGAUUUCAUUUUGGUCCCCUCGAUUUGGUAUCCUUGUGGACUGACCUAACCCAUGGCAAUAAGAUAUGGUUCAAUACUGUUGUUCAAGAAACUGGAGGUUCGUACAUACCCUAUCAACCUGUGGUGGAGAUUUCUGUUUCAGUUACCAAUCAAUUUGACAAGUGAUAGGCCUGAAUCUAUUUUUUCAUGGCCAAGUGUGCCAGAUCAGUUUUUUAAACAUAUAAUUCGUUUAAAAGUCAUUUAUAAGAACUCAUUUAAUUAGUUGGUAUUCCAGAAAGUUGAGAAAAUCAACUUGCCAACUAGCAAUCACAAAAGUGUGAAGGCUACUAUCAUUAGCUCACAAUAUCCCACCUUCCCGUACAAUUAAUUAAUGUAUCCAAUCUUGUGAUAUCCUUG